rnacentral:lncRNA from 1 species
UAAUGAACAGAGGCCCAGGCAAAUGGUACCCUGGAGAAGUAAAACCCAAGUCCCAAGCAAGCCUCUAAGCACCAAAAUGUGCCCACUGGAGUAGGCUAACCAGACCACAUGGAGGAAGCUGCCAGACUGAGAGUGUUAUAUACCCCGCUAAGGGUCUGAGACCUCAGCUACAUGGAUCAACAUCGUAUAUGCAGUUCAUCACAGACUGAAAUGUCAUUAAGUGGCAAAUGACCGUAAGUAAAUUUGUCCUGUUGAAACAUCACUCCGGCUUCUGUGUGACGGGUGGACUGGGAGAAGCACAGACACUGGUUAAGAGGCAAUUACGAGAGUCUGGGAAAGACAGAAUGAUGGUUUGGACAAGAGUCAUGGCAGUGGAAAUCAGGAAAAGUUCCCGGGAGAUAUUUAUAGAGAUGCAUCAAUACGAUGACCAGCUGUGGACACUAAGGGAGAGGGAGGCACAAGGACUCAUGCUUCUGACAUGAGAAAUUAGAUAGAUGGAAAAGCCAUUUACUCCGAUAUGGUUCAAUGGAGAAGGAGGAGGUUUCAGAGGAGUGGUCAAUGAGCUCAUUUGGAGCACAGUGAAUGUAAUAAGUUUGUACCACUCAUGGGUUUUUGUUGCAAUCAACACAAAACACUCCUGAACAUUUGCCACCUCAACCCUGAAUGCUCAGUUUCUUCAGUUUCAGUGUAAAUAAUUCUUUUUUUUUUGGAGACUCAAGUAUAGUUUUAUUAUCUUUCUACAUAGAAAACCUAGUUUUAGGGUACAUGUGCACCUAUGUGCCACAAAGAUUCAGAGCUCUAGUCUGAGAGUAUGUAAUUGGCUAAGAACUAGAAGAGAUAACAUCUGUGCCCCCUCCCUAAAAUAGAAAGGGUGUUUUAAUGAUGGAGAGUCCACUGAAAGAUCUUUAAGCAAGCCUUGGAAGGAUAUCCAGUGGCUCACGACCAAGCCCUUAGGACUGGUGGAGGAAAAGAAGCCUGCACAGCUCCCAAGAGGAAGUGGUCAUCAGAAAGGCCAGAGAUUCAGGUGCUUAAAUUAUUCAGGCAGGAGGUAGGCAAAGUUCAGGUGAAAACAGUCUGUUGUGGAUGCUACUAGUGGCAUCACCACACCAGGACAUUUGCCACCUCAACCCUGGACCCUCAAUGUCUUCAGUUUCAGUAUAAAUAACCUCUGAUCAUCUCUGCCCCACAAAGACUAGAAGUUCUAGUCUGAGAGCACGUAAUUGGCUGAGAACUAGAAGAGAGGAUAUCUGAGCCCUUUCCCCCAAAUAGAUGGGGGCGGUUUAAUGACAGAGAUCUGCUGAAGGAUCUUGGAACAUCCGGGUAGAAAUGACAAGUAAGCAUUUGACCAGUGCUGAGCUGGAACUCAGAAGAAAGGUCUGGACUAGAGAUAAAACUUUAGGGUCCUCAGCCUGUGUAGGUGGCCUGCAUAAUGUAGGCACAGAUGGCAUCACCCAGGAGGAAAACAUAGAGCAAGGAGAGAGAACAGCUCACAUCCAAGCCCUUAGGUCUGGUGGAGGAAGAGAAGCCUGCACAGCUAGCAAGAGGAAGUGGUCAAGAAAGUAAGAAGAAAACCAGGAGCAUGAAGUUGCAUGCACACCAAGGGAGGGAGUGGGCACCUGCAGUGAACACGGAUGAGAGGCUAAGGGAGAUGGGAACAGGAAGAACUCAGAUCUUGAAAACUAUCGGUGACUUCAGCAAGAACCAUCUUGAUGACAAAGAGCAGAGUUCAUGAUACAGGGGAUUGAAGAGUGAAGACAAGCAGACAAGGACAGGUGACUCCUUGGAAGGUUU